rnacentral:rRNA from 1 species
CCUACGGGAGGCAGCAGUCGAGAAUCUUUCACAAUGGGGGAAACCCUGAUGGUGCGACGCCGCGUGGGGGAAUGAAGGUCUUCGGAUUGUAAACCCCUGUCAUGUGGGAGCAAAUUAAACAGAUAGUACCACAAGAGCAAGAGCCGGCUAACUCUGUGCCAGCAGCUGCGGUAAUACGGAGGGCUCAAGCGUUGUUCGGAAUCACUGGGCGUAAAGCGUGCGUAGGCUGUUUCGUAAGUCGGGUGUGAAAGGCGCGGGCUCAACCCGCGGACGGCACAGGGAACUGCGAGGCUAGAGUGAGGGAGGGGGAGGCGGAAUUCGCGGUGUAGCGGUGAAAUGCGUAGAUA